rnacentral:rRNA from 1 species
GAUGAACGCUGGCGGCGUGCCUAAUACAUGCAAGUCGAGCGAACGGACGAGAAGCUUGCUUUUCUGAUGUUAGCGGCGGACGGGUGAGUAACACGUGGAUAACCUACCUAUAAGACUGGGAUAACUUCGGGAAACCGGAGCUAAUACCGGAUAAUAUUUUGAACCGCAUGGUUCAAAAGUGAAAGACGGUCUUGCUGUCACUUAUAGAUGGAUCCGCGCUGCAUUAGCUAGUUGGUAAGGUAACGGCUUACCAAGGCAACGAUGCAUAGCCGACCUGAGAGGGUGAUCGGCCACCCGGGAAGUGAGACACGGUCCAGACUCCUACGGGAGGCAGCAGUAGGGAAUCUUCCGCAAUGGGGGAAAGCCUGACGGAGCAACGCCGCGUGAGUGAUGAAGGUCUUCGGAUCGUAAAACUCUGUUAGUAGGGAAGAACAUAUGUGUAAGUAACUGUGCACAUCUUGACGGUACCUAAUCAGAAAGCCACGGCUAACUACGUG